rnacentral:rRNA from 1 species
CAGCCGCCACGGUAAUACGUAGGGUGCGAGCGUUAAUCGGAAUUACUGGGCGUAAAGCGUGCGCAGGCGGUUGUGUAAGACAGGUGUGAAAUCCCCGGGCUUAACCUGGGAACUGCGCUUGUGACUGCACGGCUAGAGUAUGGCAGAGGGGGGUGGAAUUCCACGUGUAGCAGUGAAAUGCGUAGAGAUGUGGAGGAACACCGAUGGCGAAGGCAGCCCCCUGGGCCAAUACUGACGCUCAUGCACGAAAGCGUGGGGAGCAAACAGGAUUAGAUACCCGGGUAGUCCCUGUCUCUUAUAA